rnacentral:lncRNA from 1 species
GCAGACAUAGAACCAUAAGAACUUAGCAAGAAAAGAAUAAUAGAAAACACAAGAAUCACCAGGAAAGGUAUAGCAAGAAAGAAUAUAGGAAAACACACUACGAUAAACAUAUAAAAACAUGAUAAAAUAUAGUUGAAAAAUCUACAAGACCAUAUUAUAGAAAACACGGUAAGGGAAGCAUACAAAAGAUGAUACGAGAACACGGCAGAGGACAACACAAAGAAGAAAAUCAUAAAACUCCUAAACAUUUUCCAGAAAACCCUGAAUCGGUAAAGAGGGGUUUUGAAAGUAAUUUUCAAAGGAAAAUUUAGGGAAAUCGUUUGAAAAAUCAUGCAUAGCAUAGAUACACAACAGAUCUAAAAAGAAUCGAAGAAAAACUUCCAAUAGCUAGGGUUUCACAGGAACCCUAGAGCGAGAAAGGCUUUGGAAAGGUCUGAUCUAAGUCGGAUAAGGUCAGAAUCAGGCUCAUAAGUCUAGGAUAUGCUGGAGCAAAGCCGGAGAUGGUCAGAAACCUUGAGUCUGCGAAGGUCUGGUCUUGAACCUUCAAGCAUCAGGCAUCCAGGAGUAAUAGGAGGUAAGUAUAGGGUUUCCAUGGCCUGAGAAGCCAUGAAUUCCGGCAAGUUUUGGGUUGAGGAUAACGAGAAGCUGCUAGGGUUAGGGGAAGGUUUGAGAGAGUCUGAG